rnacentral:lncRNA from 1 species
AAAUGAAGAUAGAGUCGUAUUCACAUACAUGAAAAUUAUAUAGGAAUAAGAAAAAUCUUUGAUUCCUUUUUGAAAAAAUGGAAAUUGAUUUCUUUGGAGUAAUCAUACUAUUCCAAUUAUGAUACUCGUGUAGAAAGAAUCGUAAUAAAUGCAAAGAAGAGGCAUCUUUCACCCAGUAACGAAGGGCUUGAACCAAGAUUUCCAGAUGGAUGGGGUGGGGUAUUAGUAUAUCUGACACAUACUUUAAAUGUGGGAAUUUGUCCUCUAAAAAAGGAAAUAUUGAAUGAAUUGAUCGUAAAUUAUGAGAUUUUGCUAUUUCUUUACCUUCUAGAGAAGAGACUAAUCGUAGGGAAAAUGGAAUUUCCACAAUGACUCCAAAUCCCUCUGAUAUCAUUUGAGAAUAAAAAUUCUUAUUGUGUCCAAAAAAUGGAUUUUGAUUAGAAUCAGAAAAAAUCAAAUGAUUCUGUUGAUACAUUCGCGUAAUUAAACGUUUCACAAUUAGUAAACUGGAUUUAUUGUCAUAACCCACAUUUUCCAACAAAAUAGAUCUGUUUAAACCAUGAUCAUAAGAAAGUGCAUAAAUAUACUCCUGAAAGAUAAGUGGAUAUAGGAAGUCAUCUUGACGAGACCUAUCUAGUUUAAAAUAUCUUUGAACUCCUUCCAUUUGAGAUUCGAUUUGAAUAAAUCGAGGGUAUUUCUUGGGUUAUCAAAUGAUACAUAGUGCGAUACAGUCAAAACAAGGUAUUCUAAUUAUAAUAAAAAAAGAAUAGAUACCUCGGAGACAGGUAGACUCAUCAACGGACCCUCUAUCCUCUCUUUUUCCAUCUAAUUUUUUUAUGUUCAUUAUAGGAUAACAAGAUGGUUAGAAAUCCUUUAUUUUUUCAAUCCAAUCGCUCUUUUGAUUUUGGAAAAAAUUAUCUUUAUCAAUAUACUGCUUCUUCUACACAUUCAUCUCCACUCCAUAAUGGAGAAUAGCUAUAGCUAAUAGUUAGGAUUCAUAAAAAAAUCUAUAAUGACUCAUGGGAGAAGCCUUUCCCGCAUCAGGCACUAAUAUUUUUUUAACGUCUAAUUAGAUCGGGUAAUCGUUCACAUUAAGAACAGAAGCUCGUUGCUUUUUUUGUUUCCCUAUAAUUUAAUUGGAGCCAUUAAGGCUCUAUCCAUUUAUUCACUCAACCCAACUUUGAAUUCAUUUUGUUCUGCUCUAACAAUUCAAACAAGGUUUUGUGCCGAUCUGCUAACAAUGAUAUAUUCUCAGAAUUCUCCAUUGAUAAUUGAUACGACAUGCUGUUUUUUCCAUUCAUUCCCUUUCAGGGAUCAGUCGCGGUCUUACAAACUAUACCAAUGGUAUGGACGAAUCCGUUCCUUCAUCCAAAUGUGUAAAAGAUUCUAGCCGCACUUAAAAGCCGAGUACUCUACCAUUGAGUUAGCAACCCGAAUAAGAUAAAAUUCAAUUAAAAUAAUUAGGGUAUGUAGAUACAACCGGAAUCAAAACAAAUGAAAGUAAAGAGAUUGGGUUACACGACGCAAUCAAAACAUUGAACUAACAAUAAAAUAAAUAAAAUAAAAAAAAAACACACAUUUUCUAAUCGAUUCUGAAGAUAAAAAUGAACAGCUCAGAUGAAAAUACAAGAAAUUCUUAGUUAUUAGAUAGAUAAAUGUAAAAAUUUAUAGACCAACUCUUAUCUUAUCCAUUUUUUUGAUUGAAAAAACUGCUUAUGGCACAGCGAAUACAACGAAACCAUCAUUUGAAUGAGGUAAAGUAAAAACCAAACCUAUGGAAUGGAGAAAAAAAGAUUCAUUUAUCUACGAUCAAAUUAUAGUUGUUUUCUACACAGUUGUCAAUAUGAAUGAAUGUUGAGAAAAGAAUACAAUGUAGAAAACAAAAAAAAUUCAAAUUUAAUAAAUCUGAAUUUAAAUUCAAAUAAAAAAAAAUAAGGACUUGUGUUGGAUUGGCACUAUAUAGAUAAUCUACAUAGAUACAAAAAAGGUGUAGAUGGCGAAAUAAAUAAGGAAAAAGUAGGAAAAAAUCGCGGGUCUAUUCAAUCAUCUAUUCAAUCAAUAUAAAGAGAAUGUAUAAUAAGCAAACUUGAUCCCGUGUUUGUUAGUAGAGUUCUAAGAAAAACCGCCUGAUUGAAGGUAAUGUCAGAAUUUUAUAUUUCUAGAUAUAAUUCCUUCAUCUAUUCACUUGAUCUUUUUUCUAUCCAUCUUAUAUCAAUAAGAUAGAUUAAGGGGCAGUAGUAGAGAAAGUUAUACAAAGCUAUAUACGAGUCAUCCCCCCCUCGUUUUUUGUAUUUCAUUGAUUGAAUUUGAAUUUCGUUUGAUUAAGACGAAGUUCCGUAAAAACCUCCGCUUUCUUUGAAAUAUCAUGAACAGUUCCUGUAGGUUGAGCUCCUUUUUCAAGGAAAUAUAGAAUAGCAGGAACAUUUGAAUAAGUUUGAUUCUUUAUCGGAUCAUAAAAACCCACUUUCCGAAGAUCUCUUCCUUCUCUUCGGGAUCGAGCAUCAAUUGCAACGAUUCGAUAGACGGCUCAUUGGGAUAGAUGUAGGUGAACAAUACCCCCCCCCCCUAGAAACGUAUAAGAAGUUUUCUCCUCGUACGGCUCGAGAAAAAAUGAUUCAAAGUUAUGUCGAUGUAUAGAAUUCCAAUGGCAAAUAGAUCUAUAAAAUCAUCAAAUUCAUUAGACUAUGAUUUAAUUUAAGUCCUUUUUUUUGUUCUUCUUUCCCCAAAAAUAUAAAAUCAUUCGUACUCAUAACUCAAGUUGGAUAACUCUCAAAUAGCUCAAAGGACAACCCUUAGGCAUUUCAUUUAUUGAGCGGUCUCUAACCCCCUUUUUGUUUGUCUCGUUUAAAAUCUAUUGUAUUCGUCAUUCUGAUCCUAAUCCUAGUUUUUGAGACAAUUGAAAACGGCGUUUCCUUGUUCCGGGAUCCUUUAUUUCUGUUUUAAAUCAUUGGGUUUAGACAUUACUUCGAUGAUCCUUAAUCCUUUCAAAAUGGCAGCAACAUACCUUUUUUUUGUGAUUUAUUUUUAUCAAAGAAUCAUACGAACGGUUGAUUCCCGCACGAUACACUUUUGAUUGAAAGUGUUCUACAAAUUCAAACAAAUUUUCUUUUUGGAUUUUAAACUUGCUUGAAUUGUAUCCUUUCGUCUAUAUCGAAGAUAUACUUACAAAGUAUUUCCAACUUCUUGAUUGGCACUAACCCUAGAUCCUUGCCCCCGAGAAAUGAAUCAAUACUUUCUACUCGAGCUCCAUCAUGUACUAUUUACAUUACAACCCAACAAAAAAAGAAAAGAGGGGUUCUUCUAGUGGAGCAGAACAAACGAUGUCGAGCCAAGAGCACCUUCAUUCCUAUAUAACUAUAUAAUAAAAUUUGAAUAUAAAAAAAUGGUGGGUGUAAAAAUCCACAACUGAUCAUGUCCUUCAAGUCGCACGUUGCUUUCUACCACAUCGUUUCAAACGAAGUUUUACCAUAACAUUCCUCUAGUUUGGAGCCGGUAUGUAAUUGAUUCAAUUAUGGAACCAUGAAUAGUCAUUGUUUUAGUCGGUACAUAGUAAUCUAUACUUGUUUCUUUUUUUUUUAUGGAUGUGUAGAUAUUUUUCUGAAGAUGUCUCAUCAAGAAUUCAACUUAAUCCCGUAUUUUAUUGUAUGAAUGCAACAUUUUUUAUUAGAUUUUCUUAUAUCUAUAAUCUAGAUAAAUUAUAUAUCUAUAAAAUGAUUUAUAUUUUUAUAUCUUUUAUACCUAUAAAAUUACAUAUAAAUAUAAAAUUAGAUAUUCUAAUAUCUAUAAUUUAUCUAUAAUAUAUCUAUAAUAUAUAAAUAGUAUAAUAAUAAUAGAAUAUCUAUAAUUAUAUAUAUAUUAUUAUAAAUAUUCUAAAAUAAUUAUAGAUAUGAUAAAAUAUAAUAUUAUUAUAUAUUUUAUAAUACAUAAUAUAAUAGACAUUUAUAUUUAUAUAUUUAUAAAAAUUUUUAUAAAAAUCAAAUUUAUAUAAAAAUAAAAGGAUACAAAUAUAAAAUAAAUGAGUUAUUUUUGAAUCUGCAUCUUCAAGUGACACAAUAGGAUAGAUUCAUCAAUCUAAUACUUCUUCAAGUACGAAAGACUAAUCUAAUAAUAAAUCAUUACAAAUAUUUAAUUGAAAAAAUUGACUACUUCGACAUCAUUACAUCAUUAUUUGAGUUGAAUAAAGUUUUACAAACAAUAAAAAAAACCGCAUUUGAUCCUUAUAAAUAAGAGAGAUAAAUCCAUGUUUCGUUUUGAACUGAACCAACAAUGAUUUAAAGCAAAUAGAUAGAUCAAAAAAAAAUCCAAUUUCUCUUCGUUUUUUUUCGUGAAGAAGAUUUAGAUCGUUAUUCUUUCAUAUGAUUGAUAAAAUAAGAACCGAAAGAAUAGGAGAUUUCUGUAUCUUAGACUGAACAAUUGUUACUGGAAGUAAUUAUGGAUAUUCUAUGUGAAAUAUUUUAAUUUAAAAAAUUUUAAAGAUCAUAAAUCUUUUUCACGAAAAUCGAAACCUCAUUGUCGCUGAAAUAGAACGAUAACAAAUACAUACAUCUAAAAAUUUCCUUCCUCAUUUUUUAGGUAUUUUGUUAUAUUUUGUUUGACUUGAGGUUCAGUAAUCUUUCUGUAAUUUUUCCAUAAGAAUCUUUCCAUAAAGUAAAAAGUAAAUAGAAUGUAUGAAUUGCCCCGUCUGAAUUGUUACAUAGAUUUACAAUAAUAGAUUUACAAUAAUUCAUUAGAGCCAAAGACGAAAUACCUAAAACUGAGGUUCAAAGAAAAUGGAUUUGUUACAUAUGUAACUUGAUUGUUUGUUAAUGAGAUUUGUACAGACACCGAUAUUGAAAUUGAUACCUUCCACUACUGAUCUAUUUACUGAUCUAUUUCACAAAUAAUAUGGGAUGAUGAAUCAUAAAUAAAAAAAAAGAUCCUCUUUUACGGGAUGCUAGACUAUCUUGUCUAGGUACAAAGCCAAACGAGUCUUUGUUCCUAUUUUUAUUUUAGUUUCCCCU